rnacentral:lncRNA from 1 species
UCAUAUUGGAUGUGUUUUUGUAGGUGCAAAGGCUCUAAUAGUUGGUGCCUAAAAGAUCUCCUACAGGGAGUCAAAUAACUAAAAGAAUAAAAAUUUUUAAUGCAAGUAUGACUUGUAUUAAGUAGUUGUUUAAUUUUGAAUAGGAUUCAAACCUUAUACCUAUUUAAAGGGACCUUUCCUAAGAUCUCUAAGCACUUCAACCAGCAGCCCC